UACGUAGGGUGCAAGCGUUGUCCGGAAUUAUUGGGCGUAAAGAGCUUGUAGGCGGUUUGUCGCGUCUGCUGUGAAAUUUCGGGGCUCAACCCCGAACUUGCAGUGGGUACGGGCAGACUAGAGUGUGGUAGGGGAGACUGGAAUUCCUGGUGUAGCGGUGAAAUGCGCAGAUAUCAGGAGGAACACCGAUGGCGAAGGCAGGUCUCUGGGCCAUAACUGACGCUGAGGCGCGAAGGCCAGGGGAGCAAACGGG
rnacentral:rRNA from 1 species